UAUGAUAGGCUACCAGUGAAAAAAGGAAAAGCAGUAUCGAUAAUGAAGGAUAAUGUAACAAUGAAACAAUAGAAAUGGUUUUUCAGAUUUAUUUUACUUUGGUUUGAAUCUUCAUACGAGAAAGACAUGGUUGGAGAUUAAUAACGUGUAGGACAGCCACAGACAUACAUUACUAGACUGGCAAUACCCUAUACAGUAUCACUGACUGAAGCCAGCACUUUAAUACAGCGAUGUGGCGGCGAGAGCAAACUGCAUGUAAACAGCUACAUAUUUACUGAUAAAAUACUCGUAAUAAAUGGUGAUAAACUGAUAUAACUACGUUAUCUUCAGAGUUCUGACAAAAUGGUUAAUAGAUACGUCGCGUUUGGUUGUAAUUUCUCG